GAGUUUGAUCAUGGCUCAGGAUGAACGCUGGCGGCGUGCCUAACACAUGCAAGUCGAGCGCGGUUGUGCUUAGUAUUGAGUGUUUUAUUGAUAUAAAACAUUGAAUUCUAUGCACAACUGAGCGGCGGACGGGUGAGUAACGCGCGGGUAACCUGCCCUAUACACAUGGAUAACAUACUGAAAAGUUUACUAAUACAUGAUAAAAUAGUUUUUCGGCAUCGAAGAAUUAUCAAAGUGUUAGCGGUAUAGGAUGGACCCGCGUCUGAUUAGCUAGUUGGUGAGAUAACUGCCCACCAAGGCGACGAUCAGUAGCCGACCUGAGAGGGUGAUCGGCCACAUUGGAACUGAGACACGGUCCAAACUCCUACGGGAGGCAGCAGUGGGGAAUAUUGCACAAUGGGCGCAAGCCUGAUGCAGCAACGCCGCGUGAACGAUGAAGGUCUUCGGAUCGUAAAGUUCUGUUGCAGGGGAAGAUAAUGAC
rnacentral:rRNA from 1 species